GGGGAAUCUUGCGCAAUGGGCGAAAGCCUGACGCAGCAACGCCGCGUGCGGGAUGAAGGCCUUCGGGUUGUAAACCGCUUUCAGUGGGGACGAAUCCAGACGGUACCCACAGAAGAAGCCCCGGCCAACUACGUGCCAGCAGCCGCGGUAACACGUAGGGGGCGAGCGUUGUCCGGAUUCAUUGGGCGUAAAGAGCUCGUAGGCGGCUCAGCAAGUCGGGUGUGAAAACUCCAGGCUCAACCUGGAGACGCCACCCGAUACUGCUGUGGCUAGAGUCCAGUAGGGGAGCGUGGAAUUCCCGGUGUAGCGGUGAAAUGCGCAGAUAUCGGGAGGAACACCAGCGGCGAAGGCGGCGCUCUGGGCUGGAACUGACGCUGAGGAGCGAAAGCGUGGGGAGCAAAC
rnacentral:rRNA from 1 species